GGUGGCUCAAGGGUAGAGUGCUUGCCUCAUGUGCAUGAGGCCCUGGGUUCGAUUCCUCAGCACCA
rnacentral:tRNA from 1 species